rnacentral:rRNA from 1 species
AGGGUGUAAACGCUGCAGACUUGGUGUUGGGAACCCUUCGGGGGUGCUCAGUGCCGGAGAGAAGUUGUUAAGUCUGCUACUUGGGGAGUACGUCCGCAAGGAUGAAACUUAAAGGAAUUGGCGGGGGGAGCACCGCAACGGGAGGAGCGUGCGGUUUAAUUGGAUUCAACGCCGAAAAACUCACCAGCAGCGACUGUUACAUGAAGGCCGAGAUGAAGACUCUGCUAGAUUUUCAGAGAGGAGGUGCAUGGCGUCAGUGACU